ACUUAACUGAACCUUCGGGGAACGUUAAGGGCGGCGAGCGGCGGACGGGUGAGUAAUGCCUGGGAAUAUGCCCUGAUGUGGGGGAUAACUAUUGGAAACGAUAGCUAAUACCGCAUAAUCUCUUCGGAGCAAAGAGGGGGACCUUCGGGCCUCUCGCGUCAGGAUUAGCCCAGGUGGGAUUAGCUUGUUGGUGAGGUAAUGGCUCACCAAGGCAACGAUCCCUAGCUGGUCUGAGAGGAUGAUCAGCCACACUGGAACUGAGACACGGUCCAGACUCCUACGGGAGGCAGCAGUGGGGAAUAUUGCACAAUGGGGGAAACCCUGAUGCAGCCAUGCCGCGUGUGUGAAGAAGGCCUUCGGGUUGUAAAGCACUUUCAGUAGGGAGGAAGGUAGUGUAGUUAACACCUGC
rnacentral:rRNA from 1 species